UCAAAGAAGUUUGCUUUUUUUAUUACUUCCUUUCCCAUUCAGCGGCCUCCCCACUUUUCCAGAGUGCCCUGGGUGUGCAGUGAAAGAGCCGUGCUUAUUAUGUGCUCCGGGCUCUCCAAACCCAGCUUUGUUUUGUCCAGAUAGCUGGUUCUCUCUCUCUCUCUCUCUCUCUCUCGCUCCCCCUCUCUCCUUCUCUGUCUCUCUUUAAUAUUCACAGUAAGAGUCUUGGCUCUCACAAGACGGCUGUUUUCCCAGUUUUUCUCCCCCCGCUAACAGCCAAGUGUGGCCCCUGUGAGUGCAAACACGCAGAAGGGAGGGACAUCUCCUGACAAACAUCUCCGAGGAUGUGCCACCCUGCCCCGUGUCAUUCAUUCUCCACCUGGCACCGAAGCUAAACUGUUAACACCGACGUGCGAGAGCGCCCAGAACCCUGAAGGACUGCCAGCGGCUGCACAUGCCUGGUCUACCUAAGUCCAACACCGCGCUCACAUCUGCUCGGCACGCAGGAAAAGGGGGAUGCAGUGUGUGAAAUAUCCGUUUGAAAUUUGGGAUUUCACAUCGUCUUCACGCACAGUCCGCCGGUGGCCGACACAGGAGCCGCCUCUCACCGAGCGACUUGCCACCCACUGGAGACGACUGUCAUCAUCGCCACGUAGCCCGGGUAUCUGCGAGUGGCAGCCCAGCGCGAGCUAACGGCGUGAAUACGGAGCGGAGCCUAUACUUAAACACGAGAUCACUCCAAACAUUGAUAAGGCAGCGCGCCGCGUGGCAGUCAGACCCCUGGUGAUGUUAACAGCACUCUGCUAUUAUCGCAGGUGUGAUCGCUCACCAGCCCACAACCACAUUUACAUCUUAAUUACCAGCCUAAUCAAUGGGGUUGCACUUUGACUUCAUUUGUGACAUUCACGAAACCUCAUUUAAGACGCAAGAAUAGGCCAUCGUAAGUAUUGGUGGUAAGAGAAAAGCACCUAUUUUCAACACGACGUAAAAGGUAACAAAGGAGGUAAAAAAAGGAAUUCUUCUCGCCGGCGCCAUCACAGCGUGCUGCGGGGUUGACAGAGUGAGCGCUGGGAGAUAUUUAUGAUAAUUACACACUCCUCCCAAAAUGACAAAGCAAAUUGGUGAGACGUGCAGCGUAUGACAGAAAACGGAUGGCUUGCGGGACUUGAGCCGGGUGAUUUAAAUGGCAAGUGAUUGAACAACAAACUCGCAUUAAGGCCGUAUUGAUGAGUUCAGUGUUUCAUUUGGGAUCAAUAAGACGAUUGGUAGAGGCCGAAGCCAAUACAUGCAGCAGGGAGAGACUGCAGAGCGGAGAGAGAUGAGAGAGUAUUGACCUGCUUCGCCAUAGAAUAGAGAAGGUGCUGGGAUUUGUUUAUCUAACAGGAGGCCUGGGUGAAAACUCUCGCUCUACGGGUUUCAUCCAGGCGGGAGCUCAUCCUACCGGGAACAAACACCCGGAAAUGUACAGCGGUGUUUGAUUAUUACUUUAGGUUAUUUUAAUCAACUCAAAGUAACCAACAACUGACAGCUAGGAAGAAUAGCACACAUACGUCACGUAGAGACGAAGGGAGGCUGUGUCGGAAAGACGUCGUACGGUGAGAGUUUGAAAUUUAGGAAGAUGUUGGUGAGCUGUCGGCAAUUUAGUCGAUGUCUCGCCAACGUCUUCCCAGGUAGCAAACGCUCCUCAUACUCCAUCUUUGCUAUAAUUCUCUCAUCGAUGACCACAAGACAUACGCCUGCUACUGGGGUUGUGACACUAUGACUGCACAGAACAGAACAUUUUAAAUUACAGAAUAAACAGUUCAGACGGUUAGCUAAAAGAUAUUGUAGCCUCAUCAGUAAAAAACUAGCUAAAAGUAAUCAAUAGACAGUUGGUUAUUAGCAGACUUCGUAGUAGGCUAUGUUAAUGGAUAACCAGUAAAAUAUAGACAUAUACAUAAUAAACAAAUGAUAAUUAGUUUUAAGUAAUGAAUAACUUAAACAUUUCAAAUAGUUAGCUCACCGUAUUGGAUAGGCAACAUGGUUGAAAUAGCUAAACAUAAUGAAUAACAAGCUGAAAUAGUUAGCGUUAAUUGACUGUAGCCUAAUCAAUAAAAAGCUAGCUUAACGUAAUGACGAGAUGAUAAUUAACUAAAUUCAAAGUCGGCUAUGCUAAUGGAUAAACUACUAAAAUGAUAAAUAGUAAACAAAUGAUAAUUAGCUUCAAGUAAUGAAUAGUUUAAACAUUUGAAAUAGUUAGCUUAGAGUAUUGAAUAAGCAACACAGUUGAAAUAGCUAAACAUAAUGAAUAAUAAGCUUAAAUAGUUAGCUAAAGGUGACUGCAGCCUAAUGAAUAAAAAGCUAGCCUAAAGUAAUGGAUUGGCAGUAAUUACGUAACUUGAAAAUAGCCUCAGCUAACGACCAUAAAUAUUUAGCUAUUAGAGACAGAAAAUAUUAGCUAAAAUUGGGUAAACGGGUGAAAUUCUUUAGCUCCAGAUGCUACAAAUGCAAACUUGAGCUACACAAUGAGAAUCAAGUGGUAUGAAAACACAUUGAAUACACUGUUCUCCUCACUUCAUCUGUAAGUGAGUCCGGUUCGGUUACAUGUUUUGUCAAACUGCAAAAGAGGGGAGAAAAAAAACCAACAAAAAAAAACUGAUUAGUUAUCAAUCUGAACCCAGUUGUUGGAGUUGGAGCCGGCUGCACUGGGUGAGUCGCCCGGAACUGUACAGCUCAAAGCAAAUCCGCUGUCAUGGCUCUCCUCCCACAGUGUGACAGAUGACGCCAACAAUGAACAUUUCAUCUUCAGCCGCGACCGCGAGCUCCCGCGCGACAGAGACGAAGCACAUCGGGCGAGAUGAAUUACCGCGCGGUGAUUUAUCAUGACAGGCCAAUAGGAAAAAAUACAAAUGAACAAUUAGCAAAUUUAGCCUUUAAUUAACCGCUCGCAGACAAUAGAUGAGCUUGUAGAGUGCGUGUGAACACGUUUCGAAACAGUGAAAGCACGGGACUAAUCUUCGCACACUUUGUCGAAUAUUACAGUGUUAAUUAGGGUUAAUUGAAUAAUUUCCCGCGCUGCGUACUGAUUAUGGAUGUCAAAGCGCGGAGGGGCUAUCUUGAUUAAGCUGAAUGUUUCUGAAUGGAGGAUGUGAGCCUGAUGAGCCAAUGAGCUGCCAAGUGGGAAUUCCUGCACAGAUUUAACUGAAAAAAAAUCAAAAAAUGUCUUUUGGAAAUGUCAAAAAAGUGUGAAUAACGGCACAGAAUCUAUUACUGAUCCUUGAAGAAAAAAACAGGAGUUAAAUUCAGUCUCAGUUCUUUGUUAAUGUGAGGAAGCUGCCGUGCAACAAAUGAAUAGUUUUGAGAGACAAUUACAGGCCGCGGCCUUUCGCCUGGUUUGAACCAUCCUGGCGUCACAUGUGUCCAGUUCUUCAAUUCAGCACCUGAUGUGGGAACACUCGUUUUUUCCCACACCGUCUCCUCAUGAGUGAUAAUGUAAUUUAGCAGGCAACACAAAACCGUGUGAGACCUGGAUGACACGCAUCCCCCCUCGUCUCAACGCCGGCUCAAGAAUUAAGACCCACAAGAUCUCCGUUGUUAAGAUGAACAUUUGCACACACACACACACACACACACAGGUGCUACGAGCCCAAAUUAGGAUAUAUCUCAUAAUUCAAUGGCAACAAAUCCAAUUGCAAUCAGGGCAAACUCAAUUUAGCCCAGAGCCCCUGAAAUAAUGAGUUGAUUUGAGUAGAAGUUCUAAAAAUGUGAAGUGUUAGUAAACAGAGCAUUUUUCUGUUUUGACAUAAAUAAAUAAAGUGGGAAGGGAAAAGAAAACCCCCUCGACGGAGGGAGCGCAGUAACGUGUCCCCCCCCACUUGUAACGCCGGUGUAAGAAUAGCAGCUAAAUUACACCAGAGAGGGAGCUUAAUUAGAUGGUAACAAGUCAGUAAGGUAAGGAAGGAGCAGCACUAUCUGAGAGGAAAUGACACGAUCGCGGCUCAAACGCAGAAUGAACGCAAGAAAGAGUUCAGGAGACGUAUCCAGCAAAUCUGUCCUGCGAUGUCUGUACAGAUUCAUAGAUCACGGAUGGCUGUGGGUCUGUGUGUGUGUGUGUGUGUGUGUGUGUGUGUGUGUGUUUGAGUCUGUGUGUUUGUGCCCUUUCUGCUAUGUUAAAAAUAGGAUGAUGCCAUCAUCCAGAGAGCUGGCAGCAAAUAUCUGGCUAACAAAUGAUGAUGUGGAUACAUGGACUCAUAAGCCUAUAAAUCAGACUCCCCCCCCCACCUCACAAAUUAAUAGAGUUCACAGUUGACGGCUGAGGAGGAAAAUCGUAAAUAAUGUUUGGCACAUGAAAAUGGCAUGACAACUGGAGGGCGGACCUGUGACAGGAAGUGAUCCCCCCCCCCUCACCGCCCUGCCUGCUUCUGGUUGUUGGUUUCUUAAAAAUCACAUAGCACGAAGGGUAAAAGAUUGAUAUUUGUGGAAUAUUCUGGGUUUUGGUGUAUUUUACUGCUCGGUACCUUGUUAAAAUGUAUAAUAAUUAUCACAAUAUGUUGAAAAAAAGCAUACUAUAAAUAUCAAAUGUUUGAAUUGAACUCUCUGGGUCUUUUUCAAGAGCUGAUUUAAUAUUUUUUGAACUUCUGUUUCUGACAUGUUUUGUUUUCCGUCUCCUGCAUCACGUUACAAGCAUCUCCGAAGAGACGUAUUGUUUCGACGGC